rnacentral:misc_RNA from 1 species
UUCAAGGUGGCUCGAAGCACUCUGAAGCAUUGACACUCCUUUAAUGAAGGGUAUGCAGUGACAACGCUUGUUAGACAUGUGAACAUGCCAAAAAUGAGUCUAAGAUGUGCUAGAGAAUUAAAUGCAUUCAAAAAAACAUAAAAAAGAAAAAUAUCUGAUGCACUUGUCAGUCACACUUUUUAUAUGUCAAACACUAGAAACUUUAUAAGUGUUUUUUGCAGCAAAAAUUUUUGUGGUGCAUAUGCCUUGGAAGAGGACCUACAAGAAACGUUAGAGUUUAUUGAAUCCUGAGGCUUUCCCUUUACCUUUUGAAAUACUUAUCUAGAGGGGCUUAUGAAGGCUUAUUCUUAGAAUUGCCUUUGGAAGAGGACCUGUAGAAUCUUGUGGGUCCUUUACAUUUUGACUCACUUAUCUAGUGUGGCAACUGGAGGCCAAUGCAUUAUUAAUAGUAGUAAUUUUCCCCAUGAAAGAUCAACAGCUUUGAGUAGAAAAAGAAUUGAAAGUUAGCAGAGUUCUGAUUUAUCUUGAUGUUCUGAUGGAAUAUUAUCAUUCAUUAGUGCCUUUGUGACAUUUGCUUAACCAAGUUUUCACAAGGAUUGGCAUUAUCUUUUCUUCUCUGUUAUCCUUUUCUUCAUACUUCUGAAUUCUUAUGGUUGAUUCUUAUGUAUAUGUUAUCAUAUUGCUUGAUUAUGGCAAUCAUGAGUUGUAGGAUGUAAGGAUCUUUAGAAUGACUCCUCAACCAUGUUUAGAUGGUUAAUAUGCAUUAGAAAAAUCAUUCUUCAGGUUGAAUAGAUUCUACAAUGAGUUAACAAUGAGCUAUUUCUCGUAGUUUAAAAGAGAAAUCACAAACUUGUCAAGUAGCCCUUACAAUGGGAUAGUGAAGAAAGGAAAUAACGUUUAAAGGGAUUUUCAGUUUCUUUGCUGGUGCUUCCAAGAACACAUUACCUUAUUGAUCAAAUCAGCUUGGUAUUCAGCAAAUAUCCAUAAACUUAUUUUAUUAUCAACUGGAUCUCUAACUUAUUAUGAGUGAAGUCAUCUGCAGCAUGCUAGGAAUAUCUAUGCCUAAAUAUCAUUUCUAUACUGUCUAUCUUUGUAUGAGAAAUAAGUGCAUAACAGGAUACCAGGAAUGGUCUCUGGAAGUGCCCUUGAUUGAAUUUGUCAAGGAUUACCUGGGAUGAAAUUGUUAUAAUUAAGUUUCAUCUUGUUUCACAAUGAAACAUUUUUGCAUUGCAUGAUACACAAUUUUACUCUUGUGUAAUGUGUUUUGGAAUGCAUUCUGUCAAGUAUUUUAUAUUCUUGUCACUCUGAACUUGCUAUUAUUUCAGAAAUGUCGUUUCUAAUCCUCUUUUUAUUUAGUAUGAAUUAUAACUGAUGAAGACAAUCCUUAUGCAAACCCAAUCUAUUGAUGGUCUCAUUUGGAAUCUACUUCACAGAUAGAACUGCUUAAUAGUGUUUGUCCUAAUUAAUUAGUUUGUACUAUUGUAUCCCUGCUAAACUCUGCUUCUUUCUAGAGUAAGUAUUGCUGUAUGGUUGAUUCUUCACUCUUAUGCAACUGUCAUGAUAUCCCCUAUUUGCAUAGGCAGCUGAUAUGUGAACUUGCUGGGGAUUCUCUGUUCUCUUUUAUCUCAUUCCUUUUCUGUUCUUAUUUACUUCUUACAAUAAAUUUAGCUUCUAAACCCCUUCUAUAGGUCUCUCUGUGAUCCAAAAUCUUAACCAAAAUUAAUAUGCAAGGCAUCAAGAGCCAACAUUUUCUGAUUAGCUUAGAUCUCAUUGGGGUGUGAUUCUAUUGUGUGACAUUUUGGAAUCUUACCAUUUGAUUGACCCUUAACAAAAUCAUUAUAUAUCUACCUCUCUUUCCAAUAAACUAUAUAAUUAUAAGGCAAAUGCUGUUUGCAUUUGGAUCUAGACAUGGUAAUCUAGGCUGCUUAUAUCCUAGACCUUACAUUAUAUAAUUGGUUGACUUCAUUAAGAACUUUUCUGUUAAUGCAGCGCCGUUCUGCUGAGCUACUAGUUCUUUGUCACUAUUACCUUGUAUUCUUUUAUGUACUGCAACUUAUUUCCCUUUUUAAUGUUUCCUGGGCCUCACAACCUUCUUGAGGUUUAGAGACGUAAUGCUUUGGUUUAACUGCUUUAUGGUAAUGGGGAAAGAUAGUGUACAAACUAGUUUUAUAAGUUGGAGAAUUCCACUGCAACUCGUUUGUUUGGGUUAGCCCCUCGCUAUGUUGAUGGGAAUUGCAAUGGAUGGUAAUCCACAAUCUACAGCUUCUUUGAGAAGACUAUUACCCUCUGUAUGUGGUAAUCUGUUAUCCAAGACAAUAAUGAAAGAAAGAACCAACUUCUGCUAUCCUUUUUUCAACUCUACUGAAAUGAUUUGCUAUUGCUAGGAAUAUGAUUCAAGCCUAACCAAACUGGGGCUCUAGAAGGUAGAAAUUUGGGGACUCUUUUUAAUUUUCAACAUUUGAGCAUUAUUGGCCACUCACAAGACUUCAUAUGUACUGUUAUCCUUGUCAUAUGCAGGAAGCAAUUUAGAGUUUUGAGGUUGACUUCUUUAAUAGUAUUUGUAGAUUAGCAACUUUUAACUUUGAAUUUCAGUGUUACUAUCCAAAUAGCAGGAUCAUCAUAGCAGGUGUCUGAACUUUAUGCUUGACAAAUAUUGCUAAUGUUUAUGCUCCAUUGAUUCUCUAUGUUUAAUUUUAAUAUAAUGGUUAUUUGGCAGUAACUGGAUUUAUGCGGAGGAUUUGAAGUUGUUAUUAGUUGAUGUAGUAUUUGCCCUGGAAUUUUUUGGAUGACUGUGGUAAUGAAAAGCCCUAAUUUACCUUGGCUCAGCUUACAUUGUGUGAAGAAAAAUUUUGUUGCUAUGAUUUGUCGUUUUAUGUACUAGUGUGCAUAGACAUUUAUGUUGAUUGCUGUUCAAUAAGUUGGCUUUGUUUCUUUAUUGACUUGUUGGUCUAGCAUAGAUGACAGAUCUAGUUAUCUGCUUAAUCAAGAGCUUUACGCUCUAAAAAGUAAAAAAUAAAAGAAUAAUAAUGACUCGUAUGCUCAGUUUGUGCUUCUCCAUUUGAUGUUUUGUCCAAUAUAGGGGUGUACAUGCGUUGGUUUGGUCGGGUUUAAUAUAUUUAUCCAAACCAAACCGACCAAGUCAGUUUUGAAAGUGUUAAAACUGAAACCAACAAAUCAAAUUAUAAAACCAAUAUUGUCGGUUUUUACAAUAAAUCGGGUUGGGUUCGGUUUUAACGCACACAUAUUUUGAAAUAUUCAAUUUCAAAUUAAAUUUCUUGAUAAUAAGUGUUUACAAAUUCAUUCACACACCAUAUAAAAUAUUUACUAGAGACAAAAACAAAAUAAAUAGUUAAGUUCCAUGAUAUACCAUAGCAUUCCUAUUCUCCAUGGAAAUUUCUAAAGCAAGAGGAAUAUAAGGAGUAGCAAAAUAGUAUUUUCCAAGCAUACAUACCAAAGAUUCUCCUAAGAUCAACCUAACCAUAAAGAGAUAUAAACAUCAAAAUAUCAAAAUACGAAAACCCAUUCUCUUCUUUCCAUCCACCUGGAAGUUUGAAAAAGAAAAAUUAAUACUAGGAAACUUAAAUAUGCAGCAAUAGUUUAGAAAAUACAAUAGACUUUGAAACCUUAGUCCACAUUAAAUAAUAGCUACUCAUUUACACAAAGUAGUCAUGUUUUAGUAAUAUGUAUAAAAACUUCAAAUGUAUAUUACACAAAGUUAGGAUAUAACUUCGGUUGGGUCGGUUUAGUAUGAUUUUUUUAUUAUAUCAAACCGAAACCCGAACCGAAAACUCGGUUUUCCUUUAUUUACAAAUCAUAACCAAUAUUUAAAUGUACAAAACCACAAAUUUCGGUUUGGGUUCAUUCGAUUUGUUCGGGUUUGUCGGUUUUUUGGUUUCCUUGUACACCCCUAGUCCUCUAUAUAUAUAUAUAUAUUAUUGUUCUGUAUAAGAAUUAAUCUGUAUUGCAUGGACUCUCCAUCAGGCUGAAAGUGCAAUAGCUGCUCUCAACUGUAGUGGUGUUGUUCUUGGAUCAUUGCCAAUAAGGAUAAGCCCAUCAAAGACACCAGUUAGGUCUCGUGCUCCUCGUCUUCCCAUGCAUUGAGGCAUCCUGGUGGCUUGGGUCCACGCUGCUUUUACCACCAGUUUCUAUAUAUCUAAAUAUAUAUAUACACACCCAUGUAAAGAUGUUUUUGAACGUCUCCUCUCUUUGUUUUAUAUAUACCUUCAUCCUUUGUUCCUUUGCAUGGGAUCUUUAUUAUGGUAGGAGUCAUUUUUUGGUUAUUCUAGCAAAUAUAUAGAGUUGGAUGGAACGUUGAGGCUCUGUAUGUAUUCACUUGUUAACGUGGAUUGGACUCAGUCCCAAAGAUGAAGCUCUUUGAGCAGUUUCUGAUAUUUUGACCCAAAAGAUCCUUUAUAUAAUCAAGUGAUUGGUUAUUUCGUAGGGUUGGAUAAUUAAUGGAGCUUCUUUUUCACCUUGUUGAGAUAGCUGGUUAUCAAUCAGUUGAUGAGUGCAUUAUUUGCUGCUUUAUUUUUUGUCGUCUCUAUUUUUGUUUGAUGGUAUUUCGUUCCUGUCUAACCAAGUGCCUUAUUACGCAUCUUUAGCUAACAAAAUUGAAGCUGUCACUUUCGAAUAAUGUGGAUGCAGAUGGCAGGGGAAUCCAGCUUUCCCAGGUAUGGUUUCUUUUGUUUGGGUUGUAGGAAAGGGUACUCUUUGCCAAUAAUUUUACUAUAUGAGGGCUCAGUUUCAUUGAAUAAUGUUUUAAAUCGUUAAGUUAAUCCAAGAUUAUAUUUUCGUGCUUAAAUGUAAUCAUUAUUGUGAUUACAACUCAAAAUAAAUACAUUAUCAUUGGUAAAACAGAGUAAAGAUAAUUUAGUAUAGCAGGGAGAGUUUGUGUCCGAAUUGGAUUUACAAAUGAAUUCUAAGAGAAUUCAGCUGAAAUAAAAUUAAAAAAAUAAAAAAUAAAA